GAAAACAAGAGAAAAUGGGCAAAAGACCUGAACGGAUACUUCCCCAAAGAGGCCCUACAUCGUGAAGACUCAGAUGGAAAGGGGCGCAACCUCAUUAGUCUUCAGGGAAACACAAUUUGAGAGCCACCGAGUCAGCAGCACGACUACAGUGAGAAGUGUCGGUGUCGAGUGUUGUGAGGACGUGGAUGAACCGGAACUCUCUGCAGCGCUGAUGGUCGGAAGAGCAUCUUAGCACCUCAAGAGCAGGAAGGACGUGACUUCAGAAAUAGAAGGCCCAUCGCCCUUCCCUGGCAGGGACAGCUGGUGUCCUUACACUGAUAUUUUCACUACCCAGACCUUCUGCCACUGGGUAUGGAUUUGAGUCAUGUCUCCAUGACUUCCUAGCUGUGUGACUUUGGGCAAGCAGCUUCACCUCUCUGUGCCUCCCUGGCUUCUUCUCGGGGUCAUGGUGAAAAUGAAAUGAUGGAACCCAUGUGAAGCCCUUCACAGAGUCCAUAACCUACAGGGGCUGAUGGAGGGGGAUCCUCACCCUCAUUCACGCACAGCAGCGCCCCCUAGUGGCUCCGUGCCUGGAGCGCCAACAAGAACCCUCUGCAGAGCAGUAAUGAGGCUCCUCAGGCAGGAGUUGGGACCUGGUGUAAUGGCCAAGGGUGAGGCCUAGCAGGAAGUAGGAUUCAUGGAGUCACUUAAAGUCCAGGCCUGUCUGUCUCCCUGAGAAUAAAGUUUGUUCCUCGGAAACUACUGUCCAGCUGUGAGCUCCAGAAGAGAGGGAAAAUGAAAUCUCUCUGCCCCCAAACCAGGAAGGCUGCCCUAUGUGUGUCUUUGGGGGAGCUGCCUGUUCCCGGGGCUGACAGGGCAUGGGGCCUUGGCGCUGUCACCCACAGGGCGGGGCUGGGUGUGGGGUCACUGGAGCCACAGCCCACCCUGCCUCCUGCUCUCCUGCAAGGUCUGAGGGAUGGAAGGGGAAAGCUGACUGCAGGAGGGAGCCUUUCUGCGAUGUCCCCUGAUAGGGACACAUGCAACCUCGGUGCUCUCCCCCGAAGAGGGACUUGCACUGAGGGAGGCAUUAGUCACUGGGAGCAGCCGUGUGUCCUCAGAAAGAUGGUGGCGGAGAGUCUGGGAGACCUGAGACAGACUCGAGCACUCUCUCCUGUCACAUUCCUUCCCCAAGAAGAGGCUGACAUGGAUGUUCCUUCCUGUCUCUGCUCGUGGACUCUCAUUUAACCCGCAAGCCUGGGAAGGAACCUCACACAGGACAGAGAAAGUGGCUCUGGGAGUAGGCAGGCUUGUGUUCAAAUCCCAGUUCUGACACUUGCUGAGCCUGUCACCUGGGGCAAGUCAUUGUUUCCUUGGCCUUGUUUCUGCAUGUGUAAACUGGGGAUGAUAAAGUACAUCCCUCAGGUUUUGAUGUGAGACUUGAAUGUGCUGAUCUAUCCACAAUCUCAGAUGCUUCCAGGGGCCAGGCAGGCAAGUGAGAGUGAGAGAAGUGGGCCAGGUGCAGGCAGCAGGGAGUGGUGGGGACUGUGGUAAACCAGGAGCACAAACACAUGUGAGUGGGGACAGCUGCUGGUCAGCGUCCUCUGAUCCAGGGCACUCAGGCACUUGAUCAGGGCAUGACAGACACCCUCAGAAUCCCAGACUAUGGGCUUUUUCUCAGGGGUCUCUGGGUGGACUUUGGCCCUGCUGGAUUUAACUGCCCUGAGAGACAGAUCUGGUUAGCAGUGAUGUGUGGUAGAAAGAAACGUGGGCCGGUGCCACCAGUUUUUUCAAAUGCCCAAGAAAAACAAGAAAUCAGCUUUAUUUUUCAAUGUUGGCAUUAAACAACAUUUUAAAAACAAUGUCCUGGGAUCCAGACAAAACCCUGUGUUAGCUGUGUGACUUUGGGCAAGUCUCUUAGCAUCUCUGAGCUUCUGUGCAUCCAUGAAUAAUGAGGUAAGAAUAGCCCUAGCUCCUGAUCUUAGCAGUUUACAUGAACUACCUCCCGGAACCUUUCCCUCAAUGUGAUAAGGGAGGGGUUACUGUCACCCCUCAUUUCACAGACAGGGACACAGGCACUGAGAAGUUCAGUCACUUGCCCAGAAUCCCACGACUGGUAAGUGACAGGGCGUGGAGAGGUUUAGAGGAAAAGACGCAGGCAGAGUGGUCAGUGAAUGUUAGCUACUGUUGGAUCAUCGUCAUGAUUAUUACUAUUAUUAGUAACAGAAAUGGCUCAAGGUCAGUUCUCAGCCUUAAUUUGACGGCCGGAAGAAGCCGCUGGACUGGACAGUCAGGCAGAGACCAGGCCGGCUCUGGAUUCAUCUCUGUGUUUUUGCAGGGAGCUCUUGGCCUCAUUAGUAGUCCCUUUGCACAGGCACUGGCCCCCUGCCGGUGGGACUCCUGGGACGACAGUUGGAUUUAGAUCCCGUGCAGUGGAGAGAUUCUCACUUUGGGGACCCGAGCUCAUCGUGACUGUCAUUACAGCCCGGGUUGUUAUGCCAUUGAUAUGUGUUUGCUCGUCGUUGAGUGGGCUGUGACACGUGGUUGACAAGUGGCCCUGAGCAGCAGUUGACAUGAGAGUGGGGAGCCUGCUGGACCUGGAGAGGCCCAGCUGGUAGAGGAGCCGUGGAGCAGAGGCUGGAGGAGGCCGACCUCUGUCCGGGACUGUGUUCAGCACAGCCGGAGCUCCCACUGGGAUCUGCUCAGCACAGAGUCCCGCUGAGAGAGAGAGCUGACUGGCAGUGCACUGUGGCAGGAAGAACAGAUUUGGGGUUGGUAGAAGCGGAUUUGCAUUUCAGUGUUGCAGUUUUCUACCUGUGGUCCCGGGGAACUGGGCCUUGUUCCCUGACACUCCGUUUUCCCAUCUGCAAACUGACAGCUAACAGAACCUGUUGCACAGAUGAUGAUGAAACGAGUCUGUAUUUGCAAACACAUGUUCUACUGCAACAGGAGGCCAUCAAGCAUGGUCGUGAUGAGGCUGCGGAGAAGGGGGACCUGGGGUCGAAUCCUGCCUCGUUCACCUUCAUGCUGAGUGACCUUGGGUAAGUCACUCCACCACUUGGAGCCUCAUGUUCUUACACUGGGAUAAGACACGCUCCUGCCCAGGGCGGUUGUGAUCAUUCCUUUAGAUGAUGCACGCAAGGAUCGGUUAGCCCCAUGCACGGAACAGAACGUGAGCUCGGCAAGAAGAGGGCAUUCUUUCUGUCCAUCUGAUUCUUAUCCACCCAAGCCGGGCACAGAGGGGGCUCUCAGUGAACAGUGGCUCAGUUGCUCGAUGCCUUGAUGUGUUCUUCAGGAAACAGAUGACAUCCUCAAAGUGGGCAAUUUGAGGAGAGUUUAAUUUAAAAAUAACACUAAAACAUUUAAAUAAUAAAAUAGCCAUUAAAAUUAUUCAUACAUGGAUGAUUUACAAAUGUGUGGGCGAGACAUUGGGAAACCAACCAGGGACAGUGCUGUGAGCCAGGGCUGCGUCAGUGGGGAGCCCUUUCCGUCUUGGAUUCCUCAAGAUGAUUGUUCCAGCACUUCUCUUCCUGAGCCAUGUGACCCUGUACCACCUCCAUUGGAAGAGGAAGAAUGAACAUCCCCACUCCACAGGUUGAGGGCUUGGCCAUGGGACUUGCUGAGGUCAACCGACUAUGAAGGAGGAAGUGAUGGGACCAGAGGCUAGAAAUGUGCUUGUGUGGCUUGACUCACUUCUUGUGCUUCUGUCAUUUGUCCUGAGGAGAGCAGGCUCCAGGUAUAUGACGGCCUCAGAAGGAGGAGACCCUUGGAGCAGAUCUGACCCCACCUGGCAGCCUGAACCAAACUGAGCUGGGCCCAUCAGAGUCAGAGCUGACCUGCAGACCUGUGAGCAGAAAACCUGAUGACUGCUCUGGCAGCCACUGAGAUUCUGAGGUUGCUUGUAAUGUGGUAAAAACUGACUGAUGCCCACCCCCAGAGGAGGAGGGCCUGGGAGUGCAGUUACUGGACUGGGUUGCCUGAUAUGAGCUGUGACCCCAGUAGAGGGGAGCCGAUGGCUGCCCAAGACUCCCUUCCCUCCUUUCAAUCUCCUGCAGCUGCUCCCAAUGGACUAGACCCAACUCCUGGUGGUGAACAAGGGAGCCGUUGAUAGGGCCACUGAAGACCUGCCCCUGGGCCCAGCACAUGGUGGAGAAGGGUGGAGUAUGGCUAUGGAAGGGCCAGUGGAAUGAUCCAGCGCAAUGAAGAAGGAAGGAGUGAGGGGCCAGCCCGGUGGCACAGGGGUUAAGUUCACACGUUCUGUUUCAGCGGCCCGGGUCUCGCCGGUCUGGAUCCCGGGUGCAGACAUGGCACCACUUGGCACGCCAUGCUGUGGUAGGCGUCCCAUGUAUAAAGUGGAGGAAGAUGGGCAUGGAUGUGAGCUCAGGGCCAGUCUUCCUCAGCAAAAUGAGGAGGAUUGGCAGCAGAUGUUAACUCAAGGCUAAUCUUCCUCAAAAAAAAAAGAAGGAAGGAGAGCAUAUGGGCUCUUGGAUUCACAAAGUUCUGUGCCAGGGGCUUUGCACAAGGAGCCACGUUAACCUACAGUCCUUGGGGCAUCUCCCCUAACUCUUUCCUCAGUCUCCCUGGUUUCUCUUGUCCUGGCCAGUGAUCCGGAGCAUUCUGUGGGAUCUGAAGCUCAGUGGAGUUAGCCAGCAGGACUUCCUUGAACAAUCCUACAAUUAUUUCAGAAUUUUUCCCCUCCCCAGUCCAUCAGCCAAAGAGGAGGUGUUCCCAAGAUUAUUACAGUUGAGAGGGAGAAUUUGAGGAAUAUCUUUUGAAUGUGUUGCCUCCCAAUGUCUUUAUCAAAACCACGUGCUGCAAAGUCUUGUUCACGAGACUCCCAAUCCCCAUCCUGUCCUUCCCAAGUGUCUUGCAGGUCAUGACCUCGGCCUCCUUUUCCGUGGACAGGAAGAGUUUAGCACAAAGUGCAGAGCAGGAGUUUUGAAGUCCAGUGUAGUGGUGGUAAAGCCCGACUUGCCCUCUUGGCAGCUCAGUGACCUUGGGCAGAUGACCUUGCCUGAUGCCUGAACCAGGGGAGAUAAUAUCAGCAGCAGGUCCUAGGGCCACUUUGAGGGUUAAAUGGGAUAGACAUUCAUACCCUGAGCACAGUACUUUGUUAAUGCUCAUGAAACUAUUGUUGUUGCUCCACACUUCCCAAAAGUGGUCAGGGUGGACUGGGACUCGGGAAGGGUUGGGGGCACAGAAUCCUCUAUUGGAUGCCAUAACACUCGGUGACCCACCGCUGGUAUUGGGAAGACCAUGCCCAGUUCUUCCGUCCGCAGAAUUCCAUGAGCUCCCGCAAAAGCAAAAUUGCUCUCCUUUCCAGGCAGGCAGGAGCUGGGGCAUCCCUCAGCCUUCCAGGGCUGUGGGCUGCACUGCACAGGGGAUUUUUCUUUGACUCAGACGUUGGUGGUCUGGUGCAAUCCAGCUAUUAAGCAGCCUUUCAGCUGACUCCAAUCUGGAGCAGUAGGUAUCUGCCAAUCCCCAUAAUAUCUAGGGAUUUGUGAAUUCUUAAAUCUGAAUAUGCCUUUACAGGUAUCAAUUCAGUGGUGAAUGCAGGCCAGCCUGAUUCUUGUAGAUAAAUGAUAUGUAUAAUAUAAGAUGAUUGAAGAGGAAAAAUAGAGAAUGUCUAGGAAGCUAUUCAGAUGAGGACCAGCUAUUGUCUGUUUUCACCCACCUGUCUCACUCCCACCCCAUCUGCCACCAAUCCAGCCAUCCAGUCGUCACUCCACCCACCAUUCACUGCAUAUUCCACUUUAUACCCACCCCAUUCUCCAUCGCUCCAUUCCUUAACCUGCCCCAUGCCCCCUUCAAA
ensembl:lncRNA